rnacentral:rRNA from 1 species
UAAACGACUCUCGGCAACGGAUAUCUCGGCUCACGCAUCGAUGAAGAACGUAGCAAAAUGCGAUACUUGGUGUGAAUUGCAGAAUCCCGUGAACCAUCGAGUUUUUGAACGCAAGUUGCGCCCGAAGCCUUGUGGCCGAGGGCUCGUCUGCCUGGGCGUCAAGC